AUGUCCCGUGAACAACCUGUACAAAGUUCGGUGUCGAUCCGAGCAUUACGGGCCCGACCCAAAGCCCAAUGGCACGUUGACCCGAAACGUGAAGCCAUGGCCCGAUACACCAUAAAAAUGCCUGUGAACAACGGUGUCAACUUUCGUGGCGAUCCGGCGUCGUUCGGUGGUGUUACGAAGGAAUCCCGUGAAAACGGACGUACCGGGCCCGCGGGCCCGUGGCCCGAAUCCAGAUUAUUCUUUCCCAAGACCACCGUCAGGUUGUCCUGAUGGCUCACAUGAAGUUUCGUGCCGUUCCGACCUCGUUUGAUACGGUUAUGGUUAACCACACGGCCCCUCGGGCCCGACCCGAGCCCAGUCAACGUUUUGACCCCGACCAAAUCGGCCCGUGACCCGAAACGACCCUACUUGGGCCCUACAACAGCCACGUAAAGUUUCGGGAUGAUCCGACGUUCUUUCAUGGGGUUACGGACAAUCCACGCCAAACAAGCGUCACGGGCCGACCGAGCCGGGCCAACGGGCCCUCGGGACCCGAAAACUGAAUUUUUUUUCAUCCAAACCCAUUAAAACACGUUACCGAGGUCUCACGCAAAAUUUCAUGCCAAUCCGACGUCGUUUGAUGGGGUUUUGAAAAAUUAUGAUUCCUCAAAAAUUUAAUGUCUGUUCCUGUCACUUAGCUUUUUGUGCAAAAUGUAUAUAUAGGGGAGGGGUGGGUGUUGAGCAGCCCAUGCCCGGGCAAGGCAUGCCAGCGCCCAAGCCAAAGGAGGCUGGUGGCGUGCGUAUAACAGCUCAAAUGCCCCAACGAUGACCGAGAACAAGCGCCCAUCUCCCCUCAUUCCCCCCACCAAGCGCCCCUCCCCCCCCAUGUUGCCUGCCCACUCGCACAGCUACUCGUGAUUUCAUGCCCAGCGACUAGUGAAUGUGCCUCGACGACCAGCAAACCUCGAAAAUUAUGAUUCCUCGUAAAAUUAAUGUCUGUUCCUGUCACUUUACUUUUUGUGCAAAAUGUAUAUAUAGGGGAGACCAGGGGCUUGAGCAACCCCUGUGCCCAAGCAAGGGUCAGAUGGAAGCACACGAGACGCGAGGUUUAAAGCCUAUACAAGCAAGGCGUCUGUCUCCCAAGCCCCAUUGCCUAUAAAACAAGCCCGAUGCCUUGUAAAUGCCCCACACGAUGCCUAUAAACGACAACGAUGUUUGCUAGUUAAUCGAUCGACGCCCCACACCUUGCAGCAUGUUGCCUAGUAAACAAGCCAUGCUGCCUUGGAAGCGCCCCACAUCAUGGCAUGUUGCCUAGCACGCUGCCCUUGUUUCCCGCACGGCGACCUGAAAGCGUGGCCUGACGACGUGCUUGCCUUCGAAAAUUAUGAUUCCUCAAAAAAUUAAUGUCUGUUCCUGUCACUUUACUUUUUGU
rnacentral:rRNA from 1 species